AAACAAACAAACAAACAAACAAAACAAACAGUUCAAAAUAUAUGAAGACAUAUAGACUAGCAGGACAAGCCAUGUGCAAUUAGGUUACAGCUUCUAAAAUGAAAAAUGACAUUGUAUGGAUUUCCACGUUUCUCUAGGAAGAAAAAAAGAAGCAAAUAAAAUUAGAACAAAAAUUUUGUAUUACUCACCCAAAGCCACUGUGGACCAAGUGGCAUCAGAGUGGUACAAGCAGCACCUGGAUCCUUAACGCCUAGACUAGGAGAGAAACUUGAAGAGCUUGAAGAAUGUUACCAAGAAUGAAAAAGUUUGAAGAUAGGGGAGUUGGAAGGAAUACCUGGUAGAGGACAUUCUUGAAGGUGUGGAAAUAGAGUCUAGAACACAACUGAAUAAAGAGAGCUCCCCAUUUUGUGAGAUUGGAGGUGAAGAGGGAAAUUUGUGGAAAGAGGAACUUGGCAAGGAUGACCAAGGGGAACCCAGCCCACGGCCACGGACCUGUUAGGAACCGGACUGCAGAGCAGUAGGUGAGUGGCAGAUGGGAACAUCUAGUUGCAGGAAAUCAAGCUCACGGAUCCCACUGAUUCUACAUUAUG
rnacentral:lncRNA from 1 species